GCCCCCGUAACUCAACUGGAUAGAGUUCCAAUCUGCUAAAUUGGUGGUCCGAGUUCGAAUCUCGAUGGGGGGCA
rnacentral:tRNA from 1 species